rnacentral:rRNA from 1 species
AGAGUUUGAUCAUGGCUCAGGACGAACGCUGGCGGCGUGCCUAAUACAUGCAAGUUGAGCGCUGAAGGUUGGUACUUGUACCAACUGGAUGAGCAGCGAACGGGUGAGUAACGCGUGGGGAAUCUGCCUUUGAGCGGGGGACAACAUUUGGAAACGAAUGCUAAUACCGCAUAAAAACUUUAAACACAAGUUUUAAGUUUGAAAGAUGCAAUUGCAUCACUCAAAGAUGAUCCCGCGUUGUAUUAGCUAGUUGGUGAGGUAAAGGCUCACCAAGGCGAUGAUACAUAGCCGACCUGAGAGGGUGAUCGGCCACAUUGGGACUGAGACACGGCCCAAACUCCUACGGGAGGCAGCAGUAGGGAAUCUUCGGCAAUGGACGAAAGUCUGACCGAGCAACGCCGCGUGAGUGAAGAAGGUUUUCGGAUCGUAAAACUCUGUUGGUAGAGAAGAACGUUGGUGAGAGUGGAAAGCUCAUCAAGUGACGGUAACUACCCAGAAAGGGACGGCUAACUACGUGCCAGCAGCCGCGGUAAUACGUAGGUCCCGAGCGUUGUCCGGAUUUAUUGGGCGUAAAGCGAGCGCAGGUGGUUUAUUAAGUCUGGUGUAAAAGGCAGUGGCUCAACCAUUGUAUGCAUUGGAAACUGGUAGACUUGAGUGCAGGAGAGGAGAGUGGAAUUCCAUGUGUAGCGGUGAAAUGCGUAGAUAUAUGGAGGAACACCGGUGGCGAAAGCGGCUCUCUGGCCUGUAA